AGCUUCAAGGAAUGCAAAAGAUGGUCCAUGGGAAUUUGGAUUUGAAGUGAAGUUCUAUCCACCAGAUCCUUCUCAAUUGCAAGAAGAUAUAACUAGGUAUCAGUUAUGCUUGCAAAUUUGCAAUGAUGUUCUUUCAGAAA